rnacentral:piRNA from 1 species
UAGUAUUUGGAUGAGUACUAAGGUCUCAG